UACAGAGGGGGCAAGCGUUGUUCGGAAUUACUGGGCGUAAAGGGCGCGUAGGCGGCCUGUUAAGUCAAACGUGAAAUCCCCGGGCUCAACCCGGGAACUGCGUCCGAUACUGGCAGGCUUGAAUUCGGGAGAGGGAUGCGGAAUUCCAGGUGUAGCGGUGAAAUGCGUAGAUAUCUGGAGGAACACCGGUGGCGAAGGCGGCAUCCUGGACCGAGAUUGACGCUGAGGCGCGAAAGCCAGGGGAGCAAACGGG
rnacentral:rRNA from 1 species